AUUGAACGCUGGCGGCAUGCUUUACACAUGCAAGUCGAACGGUAACAGGCCUUCGGGUGCUGACGAGUGGCGAACGGGUGAGUAAUGCAUCGGAACGUACCCAGAGGUGGGGGAUAACGCAGCGAAAGCUGUGCUAAUACCGCAUGUGAUCUGAGGAUGAAAGCGGGGGACCGAGCAGCAAUGUUUGGCCUCGCGCCUUUGGAGCGGCCGAUGUCGGAUUAGCUAGUUGGUGGGGUAAAGGCCUACCAAGGCGACGAUCCGUAGCUGGUCUGAGAGGACGACCAGGCACACUGGGACUGAGACACGGCCCAGACUCCUACGGGAGGCAGCAGUGGGGAAUUUUGGACAAUGGGCGCAAGCCUGAUCCAGCAAUGCCGCGUGCGGGAAGAAGGCCUUCGGGUUGUAAACCGCUUUUGGCAGGAACGAAACGGUGUCCGCUAAUACCGGGCGCUAAUGACGGUACCUGCAGAAUAAGCACCGGCUAACUACGUG
rnacentral:rRNA from 1 species